rnacentral:lncRNA from 1 species
AAUUAUGUACGAAUUAUUAAAAAAAAUGAAAGAAUAAUAGUAAAGUGAUUCAUUUAACCAAAAUGCUAAACACAAGAAAGAUCAAAUGUUGGCAUUUUCCAUGAAAUAGUAAAUGUUAUACAUUUGACUCAUGCUUUUUUUUUUUUUUACAAGUCUUGAUUCACUAAUUCUAAAGGCUUUGUGAACCCAAACACUAAUCAUAGAGUCCAAAAUAACUAGGUUAAAUAGUUCGAAUUCGGGUGACUAAUGCUACUCGAACCCAUAUGACGAGAAUUAUUUCACUUUAUCAUUGGACCAAGAUUACUUUGGUUGUUUAAUGAAAAC